AGAGAAGCAAUUGCUCUAGGCCGUGGCUGGGCUUCAUAAGCAAGCCUGACUGAGCUCUCUUUAGUAUUAUACUCAUUGUCCGUUCCAUGCCCAAGCUGACCAUACUGUGGAAGGCCUGCAGUUAGUAUAGAAGCUCCUUCAACAGAUGAUAACCAGACAGUAAAAUCAGCUCCACAGGCAGUUUUCUUGACAUCAGACACGAGACAGCGGACAGGAGAUGACUCAAUUUCAUUUCUUACUGAACCAGAACCCAGCUGUCCAUGUUUAUUCCAACCAAAUGCAAGGGAUUGACCAUCUUCUGUGGCCACUGCUGUGUGGCUCCUCCCUGAUCCAGCACUAAUAAUUUUGUACUUCGAAAGUUCAGAAACAAU
rnacentral:misc_RNA from 1 species